rnacentral:rRNA from 1 species
AUUGAACGCUGGCGGCAGGCCUAACACAUGCAAGUCGGGCGAGUGGCGGACGGGUGCGUAAUGCUUGGGAAUCUAGCUUAUUGAUGGGGAUAACUACGGGCAACUGUAGCUAAUACCGCGUACCAUAGGAUGAGCCCAAGUGGGAUUAGGUAGUUGGUGAGGGAAAGGCUCACCAAGCCGACGAUCCCUAGCUGGUCUGAGAGGAUGACCAGCCACACUGGGACUGAGACACGGCCCAGACUCCUACGGGAGGCAGCAGUGGGGAAUAUUGCGCAAUGGGGGCAACCUGACGCAGCCAUGCCGCGUGAAUGAAGAAGGCCUUCGGGGUGUAAAGUUCUUUCGGUAGCGAGGCGUUAACUACAGAAGAAGCAACGGCUAACUCCGUGCCAGCCGCCGCGGUAAUUC